rnacentral:rRNA from 1 species
AUUGAACGCUGGCGGCAGGCCUAACACAUGCAAGUCGAGCGGAGCGGCGGACGGGUGAGUAAUGCCUAGGAAUCUGCCUGGUAGUGGGGGAGAACGUCCGGAAACGGCAGCUAAUACCGCAAACAACCUGCUGAGACUAGGCCGGAUUAGCUAGUUGGUGGGGUAAAGGCCUACCAAGGCGACGACCCGUAACUGGUCUGCGAGUGUGAUCAGUCAAACUGGAACGGAGACACGGUCCAGACUCCUACGGGAGGCAACAGUGGGGAAUAUUGGACAAUGGGCGAAAGCCUGAUCCAGCCAUGCCGCGUGUGUGAAGAAGGUCUUCGGAUUGUAAAGCACUUUUAUUUGGGAGGCGUUACCAACAGAAUAAGCACCGGCUAACUUCGUGCCAGCAGCCGCGGUAAUUC